UACAAUUCCCUAAGCAAGGCAAGUGUCAUGCCAACUACGACAAAAAACGAAAAAUCCCAAAAAAAUACAAAAACAAAAAAUCCAAAAAAAAUUGUCUUGUUUUGCUUUGUUUAAAGCGUCUUGUAUGUUGGUAUGGCGGGUCUUCUCUGGGGAGAAGGAGACUAACGCGUUCCAACAUACAAAACCAGGAAAAGACGACAUGGAAACACCGAGAGAAGGAAGGGAAAGAUGGGAACACCAGAAGAAGGAAAAUGAAGAGAAGUAACACUAGAAGAAGGCAUAUGAAGUAACACAAGAAGAAGGAGGUUGAAAAGAGUAACACAAGAAGAGGGAAUUUGAAAAGAGUUACACAAGAAGAAGGUAUUGAAAAGAGUUACACAGAAGAAGGUAUUGAAAAGAGUAACACAGAAGAAGGUAUUGAAAAGAGUUACACAGAAGAAGGUAUUGAAAAGAGUUACACAGAAGAAGGUAUUGAAAAGAGUAACACAGAAGAAGGUAUUGAAAAGAGUUACACAGAAGAAGGUAUUGAAAAGAGUUACACAGAAGAAGGUAUUGAAAAGAGUAACACAGAAGAAGGUAUUGAAAAGAGUAACACAGAAGAAGGUAUUGAAAAGAGUAACACAGAAGAAGGUAUUGAAAAGAGUAACACAGAAGAAGGUAUUGAAAAGAGUUACACAGAAGAAGGUAUUGAAAAGAGUUACACAGAAGAAGGUAUUGAAAAGAGUAACACAGAAGAAGGUAUUGAAAAGAGUUACACAGAAGAAGGUAUUGAAAAGAGUAACACAAGAAGAAGGAAUUUGAAGAUAAAUAACACAAGAAGAAGAAAUGUGAAGUAACACCGGAAGGAAAAUGCAGAGAAGUAACACUAGAAAAAUGAAAAUGGAAAUGAAAAGAAUCAUCCACCUUUCGGCCCAAACCAACAUCACAAAAUUAUGGGCGAGUCUCUUCUGGGAGGAAAGCGGCUCGUUCAGACCCAGGAACACCAGAAAGGAUGAUAGAAACAUCAAGAAAAGGAAAA